CCCCGUACACAAAAAUGCACAUACUGUGAGCUCGAUGAGUAGGGCGGGACACGUGGUAUCCUGUCUGAAUAUGGGGGGACCAUCCUCCAAGGCUAAAUACUCCUGACUGACCGAUAGUGAACCAGUACCGUGAGGGAAAGGCGAAAAGAACCCCGGCGAGGGGAGUGAAAAAGAACCUGAAACCGUGUACGUACAAGCAGUGGGAGCCUCUUUAUGGGGUGACUGCGUACCUUUUGUAUAAUGGGUCAGCGACUUAUAUUCUGUAGCAAGGUUAACCGAAUAGGGGAGCCGAAGGGAAACCGAGUCUUAACUGGGCGUUAAGUUGCAGGGUAUAGACCCGAAACCCGGUGAUCUAGCCAUGGGCAGGUUGAAGGUUGGGUAACACUAACUGGAGGACCGAACCGACUAAUGUUGAAAAAUUAGCGGAUGACUUGUGGCUGGGGGUGAAAGGCCAAUCAAACCGGGAGAUAGCUGGUUCUCCCCGAAAGCUAUUUAGGUAGCGCCUCGUGAAUUCAUCUCCGGGGGUAGAGCACUGUUUCGGCAAGGGGGUCAUCCCGACUUACCAACCCGAUGCAAACUGCGAAUACCGGAGAAUGUUAUCACGGGAGACACACGGCGGGUGCUAACGUCCGUCGUGAAGAGGGAAACAACCCAGACCGCCAGCUAAGGUCCCAAAGUCAUGGUUAAGUGGGAAACGAUGUGGGAAGGCCCAGACAGCCAGGAUGUUGGCUUAGAAGCAGCCAUCAUUUAAAGAAAGCGUAAUAGCUCACUGGUCGAGUCGGCCUGCGCGGAAGAUGUAACGGGGCUAAACCAUGCACCGAAGCUGCGGCAGCGACACUAUGUGUUGUUGGGUAGGGGAGCGUUCUGUAAGCCUGUGAAGGUGUACUGUGAGGUAUGCUGGAGGUAUCAGAAGUGCGAAUGCUGACAUAAGUAACGAUAAAGCGGGUGAAAAGCCCGCUCGCCGGAAGACCAAGGGUUCCUGUCCAACGUUAAUCGGGGCAGGGUGAGUCGACCCCUAAGGCGAGGCCGAAAGGCGUAGUCGAUGGGAAACAGGUUAAUAUUCCUGUACUUGGUGUUACUGCGAAGGGGGGACGGAGAAGGCUAUGUUGGCCGGGCGACGGUUGUC
rnacentral:rRNA from 1 species